rnacentral:misc_RNA from 1 species
GAUGAAGAACGCAGCGAAAUGCGAUAAGUAAUGUGAAUUGCAGAAUUCAGUGAAUCAUCGAAUCUUUGAACGCACAUUGCGCCCCUUGGUAUCCCGAGGGGCAUGCCUGUUCGAGCGUCAUUUCACCACUCAAGCCUGGCUUGGUGUUGGGCGACGUCCCCUUUGGGGACGCGCCUCGAAACGCUCGGCGGCGUGGCACCGGCUUUAAGCGUAGCAGAAUCUUUCGCUUUGGAAGUCGGGGCCCCGUCUGCCGGAAGACCUACUCGCAAGGUUGACCUCGGAUCAGGCAGGGAUACCCGCUGAACUUAAGCAUAUCAAUAAGCGGAGGA